rnacentral:rRNA from 1 species
UUUCGAAUCAUCCACAAUGGGCGAAAGCCUGAUGGUGCGACGCCGCGUGAGGGAUGAAGGUCCUCGGAUUGUAAACCUCUGUCACCAGGGAGCAAAAACUAGACUCAUACUCUAGCUUGAGUUAACCUGGAGAGGAAGUAGUGGCAAACUCCGUGCCAGCAGCCGCGGUAAUACGGAGACUACGAGCGUUACUCGGAUUUACUGGGCGUAAAGGGCGUGCAGGCGGCAGUCUAAGUCUGGCGUGAAAUAUCCCGGCUCAACCGGGGAAGGUCGUCGGAUACUGGGCAGCUAGAGGACGGUAGAGGCGUGUGGAAUUCCGGGUGUAGUGGUGAAAUGCGUAGAGAUCCGGAGGAACACCAGUGGCGAAGGCGACACGCUGGGCCGUACCUGACGCUAAGACGCGACAGCAUGGGGAGCAAACAGGAUUAGAUACCCGCGUAGUCCCUGAGCGGGCUGGCAAGGCGCAU